GAUGAACGCUGGCGGCGUGCCUAAUACAUGCAAGUCGAGCGAACAGACGAGGAGCUUGCUCCUUUGACGUUAGCGGCGGACGGGUGAGUAACACGUGGGUAACCUACCUCUAAGACUGGGAUAACUUCGGGAAACCGGAGCUACUACCGGAUAAUAUUUCGAACCGCAUGGUUCGAUAGUGAAAGAUGGCUUUGCUAUCACUUAUAGCUGGACCUGCGCCGUAUUAGCUAGUUGGUAAGGUAACGGCUUACCAAGGCGACGAUACGUAGCCGACCUGAGAGGGUGAUCGGCCACACUGGAACUGAGACACGGUCCAGACUCCUACGGGAGGCAGCAGUAGGGAAUCUUGCGCAAUGGGCGAAAGCCUGACGGAGCAACGCCGCGUGAGUGAUGAAGGUCUUCGGAUCGUAAAGCUCUGUUAUUAGGGAAGAACAACCGUGUAAGUAACUGUGCACGUCUUGACGGUACCUAAUCAGAAAGCAACGGCUAACUACGUG
rnacentral:rRNA from 1 species